GGUUUGAGAAGAAGGGCCCCGGAAAGGGUACUGGAGACACGGACCCCAGGCCCUAUGGGGCGCAGCAGGCGAGAAACCUUUGCAAUGUGCGAAAGCACGACAAGGUUAAUCCGAGUGUCUCCUGCUAAAGGAGUCUUUUGUCAGUUGUAGAAUCACUGGUGAAUAAGGGGUGGGCAAGUUCUGGUGUCAGCCGCCGCGGUAAAACCAGCACCUCGAGUGGUCAGGAGGUUUAUUGGGCCUAAAGCAUCCGUAGCCGGUUGCAUAAGUUUUCGGUUAAAUCUAUGCGCUUAACGUAUAGGCCGCCGAAAAUACUGUGCAGCUAGGGAGUGGGAGAGGUACACGGUACUCGAUAGGAAGGGGUAAAAUCCUUUGAUCUAUUGAAGACCACCUGUGGCGAAGGCGGUGUACCAGAACACGUUCGACGGUGAGGGAUGAAAGCUGGGGGAGCAAACCGGAUUAGAUACCCGGGUAGUCCCAGCUGUAAACGAUGCAGACUCGGUGAUGCAUUGGCUUGUGGCCAAUGCAGUGCCGCAGGGAAGCCGUUAAGUCUGCCGCCUGGGAAGUACGUACGCAAGUAUGAACUAAAGGAAUUGGCGGGGGAGCACCACAAGGGGUGAAGCCUGCGGUUCAAUUGGAGUCAACGCAG
rnacentral:rRNA from 1 species